UACGCGCUUGGUCUGUACUGGAAAUGGAGCGAGAGAUCUUGUGUACAUCCCUUUCAUGGUUUAUCUAAAACGAAACCAGACUGACUCAAUGAGGCAUCACACCAGUUUUGAGCCGGGAACUUUGAUUGCGUCUACAGCUAUCACUAUCAGUCCCAAUAGAUGAAGACAGAGUUGAGCAGCUGACCUAUUCAACCAUUGCCUCAAUACCUCCACUGAAUCUUAGAGAUUGCACUGAAGUCAACGAUGUUAACAACAAUGCUAAUCCUGCUGAAGAAACUUCAGGCAGCAGAACAGUUUGACAGUGUCCAAGCAAUAGCCAAUGAACUUACAGAAUAAAUGGCUGUGACUGAAACUCAUUUCAAUAUUUUU